rnacentral:tRNA from 1 species
GCCCUAGUAGCUCAGCUCAAGAGCAGCGGUCUUGUAAACCGAAGGUCAGAGGUUAAAAUCCUCUCUAGUGCU